CCAGGUUUAACUAUUUACUGUAUGUAUGACAUUGUUAGGCUGGGGAGACCAGGUUGAACUAUUUACUGUAUUUAUGACAUUGUUAGACUGGGGAGACCAGGUUUAACUAUUUACUGUAUGUAUGACAUUGUUAGGCUGGGGAGAGCAGGUUUAACUAUUUACUGUUUGUAUGACAUUGUUAGACUGGGGAGACCAGGUUUAACUAUUUACUGUAUGUAUGACAUUGUUAGACUGGGGAGACCAUGUUUAACUAUUUACUGUAUGUAUGACAUUGUUAGACUGGGGAGACCAUGUUCAACUAUUUACUGUAUGUAUGACAUUGACAUUGUUAGACUGGGGAGACCAGGUUUAACUAUUUACUGUUUGUAUGACAUUGUUAGACUGGGG
ensembl:lncRNA